GAACGCACCUUGCACCCUUUGGCAUUCCGAAGGGUAUGCUCGUUUGAGUGUCAUUGUACUCUCACACUUCUGAUCCUUUUGGAUUGGGAGCGGUGGACUUGGGUGUUUGCUGCUUUACUGCGGCUCACCUCAAAUGCAUUAGUGCAACUCUUGGUUGGACAUAGUACGGCGUGAUAAGUAUCUUCGCCGGCACCUCGCAAGAGGGUGGCUGAUCAGGAGCUCUGUGCUCUCCAACUGUCUUCAGACAACAACUGACAACUUGACCUCAAAUCGAGUAGGACCACCCGCUGAACUUAAG
rnacentral:misc_RNA from 1 species